CCUACGGGUGGCAGCAGUGGGGAACAUUGGACAAUGGGCGAAAGCCUGAUCCAGCCAUGCCGCGUGUGUGAAGAGGGCCUUCGGGUUGUAAAGCACUUUCAGUGGGGAAGAAAGCCUUGGGGCUAAUACCCUCGAGGAAGGACAUCACCCACAGAAGAAGCACCGGCUAACUCCGUGCCAGCAGCCGCGGUAAUACGGAGGGUGCGAGCGUUAAUCGGAAUUACUGGGCGUAAAGCGCGCGUAGGCGGUCUGAUAAGCCGGUUGUGAAAGCCCCGGGCUCAACCUGGGAACGGCAUCCGGAACUGUCAGGCUAGAGUGCAGGAGAGGAAGGUAGAAUUCCCGGUGUAGCGGUGAAAUGCGUAGAGAUCGGGAGGAAUACCAGUGGCGAAGGCGGCCUUCUGGACUGACACUGACGCUGAGGUGCGAAAGCGUGGGUAGCAAACAGGAUUAGAUACCCCAGUAGUC
rnacentral:rRNA from 1 species